rnacentral:rRNA from 1 species
CCCUUAGAUGUUCUGGGCCGCACGCGCGUUACACUGAUGCAUUCAACGAGUUCUUCCUUGGCCGAGAGGCCUGGGCAAUCUUUUGAACGUGCAUCGUGAUAGGGAUAGAUUAUUGCAAUUAUUAAUCUUGAACGAGGAAUUCCUAGUAAACGCAGUUCAUCAAACUGCAUUGAUUACGUCCCUGCCCUUUGUACACACCGCCCGUCGCUCCUACCGAUUGAGUGGUCCGGUGAGGCUUUGGGAUCUGAGCGGAAAGAGCGUUUCGCUGUUUCUGCUCGGAAAACUCAGUCGAACCUUAUCAUUUAGAGGAAGGAGAAGUCGUAACA